AAGACGUCGGUCUGGCAGCGAUGAGGAGCCCGGAGAACUAGUGGACGAUGAUUCGUCUUCUGCUUCUGAUUCCGAGCCGCCACGAUCUGAAGACAGAGAGCGCUCGCAAAGUAAGCGAUCGUCUCGUGCUUCGUCCAGUGGUUAUUAUCGUGACAAGGAGCGGGAUAGGUCAAGAGAGCGAUCUUGGGAUUAUUAUGAUCGUUCUUCUGAAUCUCAUUGGAGUUGGCAUCAAUCGGGAGAUCGAAGUCGCCAUUGGUCUGAUCGUAAUAAUCAUCGAUACAUUCACAGACGUGGGUCAUCACCGCCACCAUAUAGACAACAGUUUGCUGGAGGGAGGUUAAGUGAGAGACACCUUCACUCGUAUCACAGUGAAAGCAAACGAAGAAGAUACAGCUCUGAAGAUCAUGAUCAGCGACUUUUGUCCAGCUUUUCUGGCGAGCAUGAAAAGUUUGAGGUUGAUUAUAGUGAAGACUCCUUGCCAUACAAGAGCAUAUUGACAUCAAAUGUUCCCAUGGAUGUAGAAACACCUGAAGAAAC